rnacentral:lncRNA from 1 species
GCUUUAUCUUUGCAUCCCUCAUAGCACCACAGCCUGGCAUCCUGCUCAAUAUGCUUGGGCCAGUUUGUGAUUUUUCAGGAGGAUUGGAAAAGUGCUAAUGCUUUAGGAGGUGGCAGUGACAGAAAGCUGGAAGACUUCUCUGAAGAACAGUGACAGGAGCAAAAGAGAGAGACGCCCAGGACUUGUAGGAGCUGCAGGAGGACCCUUUCCCUUCCGCAUGAGGAGAGGCAUGAGGGUGUGAAAUCUGACCAGCUAGAGUGAUUUUGUAACCACCAGAUAAGAAACUGCAGCUGCUGAGGGGCCAUUCUGAGCAGUCCAGGAAUGAAGUCAACACCACAAAAGGCAGACGAGCGAGAUGGUGAGAAACCAGGUCCUGGGGUAUCCUUUGAGGCACUGGACCAAGUCUGACCUGAGGUCUGUCUGACUACUG